rnacentral:rRNA from 1 species
GACGAACGCUGGCGGCGCGCCUAACACAUGCAAGUCGAACGGAGUCAAGAGGAGCUUGCUUUUCUUGACUUAGUGGCGCACGGGUGAGUAACGCGUGAGUAACCUGCCCUGGAGUGGGGGACAACAGUUGGAAACGACUGCUAAUACCGCAUAAGCCCACGGAUCCGCAUGGAUCUGCGGGAAAAGGAGUUAUUCGCUUCAGGAUGGACUCGCGUCCACUUAGCUAGUUGGUGAGGUAACGGCCCACCAAGGCGACGAUUGGUAGCCGGACUGAGAGGGUGGACGGCCACAUUGGGACUGAGACACGGCCCAGACUCCUACGGGAGGAGGCAGUAGGGGAUAAUGCACAAUGGGGGAAACACUGAUGCAGCGACGCCGCGUGGAGGAAGAAGGUUUUCGGAUUGUAAACUCCUGUCGUUAGGGACGAUAAUGACGGUACCUAACAAGAAAGCACCGGCUAACUACGUG